rnacentral:rRNA from 1 species
UUCGCCCUUAGAGUUUGACCCUGGCUCAGGACGAACGCUGGCGGCGCGCCUAACACAUGCAAGUCGAACGAGCGAGAGAGAGCUUGCUUUCUCAAGCGAGUGGCGAACGGGUGAGUAACGCGUGAGGAACCUGCCUCAAAGAGGGGGACAACAGUUGGAAACGACUGCUAAUACCGCAUAAGCCCACAGCUCGGCAUCGAGCAGAGGGAAAAGGAGCAAUCCGCUUUGAGAUGGCCUCGCGUCCGAUUAGCUAGUUGGUGAGGUAACGGCCCACCAAGGCGACGAUCGGUAGCCGGACUGAGAGGUUGAACGGCCACAUUGGGACUGAGACACGGCCCAGACUCCUACGGGAGGCAGCAGUGGGGAAUAUUGCACAAUGGGGGAAACCCUGAUGCAGCGACGCCGCGUGGAGGAAGAAGGUCUUCGGAUUGUAAACUCCUGUUGUUGAGGAAGAUAAUGACGGUACUCAACAAGGAAGUGACGGCUAACUACGUGCCAGCAGCCGCGGUAAAACGUAGGUCACAAGCGUUGUCCGGAAUUACUGGGUGUAAAGGGAGCGCAGGCGGGAAGACAAGUUGGAAGUGAAAUCUAUGGGCUCAACCCAUAAACUGCUUUCAAAACUGUUUUUCUUGAGUAGUGCAGAGGUAGGCGGAAUUCCCGGUGUAGCGGUGGAAUGCGUAGAUAUCGGGAGGAACACCAGUGGCGAAGGCGGCCUACUGGGCACCAACUGACGCUGAGGCUCGAAAGUGUGGGUAGCAAACAGGAUUAGAUACCCUGGUAGUCCACACCGUAAACGAUGAUUACUAGGUGUUGGAGGAUUGACCCCUUCAGUGCCGCAGUUAACACAAUAAGUAAUCCACCUGGGGAGUACGACCGCAAGGUUGAAACUCAAAGGAAUUGACGGGGGCCCGCACAAGCAGUGGAGUAUGUGGUUUAAUUCGACGCAACGCGAAGAACCUUACCAAGUCUUGACAUCCUGCGACGGACAUAGAAAUAUGUCUUUCCUUCGGGACGCAGAGACAGGUGGUGCAUGGUUGUCGUCAGCUCGUGUCGUGAGAUGUUGGGUUAAGUCCCGCAACGAGCGCAACCCUUACUGUCAGUUACUACGCAAGAGGACUCUGGCAGGACUGCCGUUGACAAAACGGAGGAAGGUGGGGAUGACGUCAAAUCAUCAUGCCCUUUAUGACUUGGGCUACACACGUACUACAAUGGCGUUAAACAAAGAGAAGCAAGACCGCGAGGUGGAGCAAAACUCAGAAACAACGUCCCAGUUCGGACUGCAGGCUGCAACUCGCCUGCACGAAGUCGGAAUUGCUAGUAAUCGUGGAUCAGCAUGCCACGGUGAAUACGUUCCCGGGCCUUGACACACCGCCCGUCA